UUAAUCAUCUUUCAAUUAGAAUUAGGCGUUGAUCUAUUUCUUCAGCCAUUGCGCUGCACUGAUUUUCACCAGAAAUGAGUCCCAUGCAAUACAACAUCCUCAAGACCGCAGAUGAUACGGUGAUUUUUCUAAAAGUGCUGAAAUGGGCUCUGGAGGCUCAGAAGCACCAUCAGCUGGGUGCACCCUUCGCAACAGCCUUGGCCUGAGGCUGGAAUGGUGCCGCACACUUCCCUGCCAUCGUUCCACCAAGAAGAAACACGUCUCCAGGAAAAGGACUGUUUUAUCACGAAAAACAGCAAAAAAAGAGCAGAAAAUAAUGUUUUAUGAGUGACAGACUAAUAACAAUUACUAAUAUUCAUCAUUGCUCUAUGUGCAGUGUUGCUGUGUAUGUGUAAUUGUUUAAUUUUUGCGCUUGUACA